UAAAACUACACAAGUGAGCUACACCAAAUAGCAAAAAAAGACAAGUGUCAAUCUCUAAGCCCCUCCACAUAGGAUUUUAGGUUUCAUUAAAUUCCAAAAAUUUUACCUCAAUUAGGCAAUAUUUUCAAAUUUGGAGUUGGAGGGAAAAUUUUGUGAAGGAAUGAUGAAAGGGCCUUAAAAUGGACCGCAAAUGCAAGGCCCAUGUGGUUUAAGCCCAAAACUGGAGGAAAAAAAAAAUUGAUGGCAGAAGAAAGGACUGAUACGUCGUUUUCUUUCUCUGCAAUGUUUCCUUAUUUUGGCUAACAAGUAAGAAACAAUUUAUUCAAAAACAAAUCAAAAUCCCAAAUCUAUGCAAGCUUCUUCUGUCCCACCUCAUUCAAACAUGGCAAGCCCACACGUGGAUGAACAAGUUAAAACUCCUGGUCAAGCUUCCUCUCUACACACAAAUUUGAGAGAUUCCUUCGUUUCUCCAUCACUUUUGACAAACCCAGCGGCGAGAAAAUUAUGAAGUAAGGGAUGCUGUUCUUCAAUCUUCAUUCCUCACGUUGUUUCUUUUCUUCUUCAUGUGCAAAUCAGAGAUUGCUGCUAAUGAAUUUAAGUGAAAGAGUCUUUGAACUUUGGAUGAUGUGAUAGAGCGGCUGAUGUUGGACUUCAAGUGAUGAGUUUCAAUGCCCCUUUUUCGGGUGUUUAUUAGAAGCCCAACUAUGUCCAAAUAUUUGUAACGUCACAAUUAUUGGAAUGCUCAUUUGCUUAAAGAAGAAAAGAGAACAAGUUUGUUUGAAUGGAGGAGACACAUCCAUCGUCCUUUGAUCGUCCUUUGGAUGAAAUUAGAGAGCACCAUUGCACCAGCUUAUGAUUUUUGAGGAGACACAUCCAUCAUCCUUUGAUCGUCCUUUGGAUGAAAUUAGAGAGCACCAUUGCACCAGCUUAUGAUUUUUGUAUGUCUACUCUUUCUAACAUGUGUGUAAUCUAGGAACUAAUUCUGAGUUGCCUUAUAGAAUGAAAGUUCACCCAAUAAAGAUGGCAUUAUUUGUACGAUGGAAACGUCAAAGCGUUACAGGUUUAUGUAAAGUUAAGGUGAACGAUCAUAUCAACUCAAUUUGAGAAGUUGAUAUAAUAUUGAUUUGGUUAUGCAUCUCUAAAGCUAUUUGGUUAUGCAGAAAUACUAAAUUUGUUGGUUCGUCAGAGGUAUAUUUUAUUCUAUAAUACCACAACUACUUCAGAGGUAUAAUCAAUCACUCCAUUUUUUUUUCAUCAUGAAAUGAUCAUCACUUCUUUCAUUUUGUUCUUUGUUUUCAUAUAUAACUUAAAAUUAAAGGUACUAUUCGAUACAACUACAUCUAAUGUAGCACAAACACUUCAUUGUGGAUAGUGUUUUUGUGAUGCCUCUGUCACCGUAUAAGUAGACCACUUAUAGUUUGAUACUUUUAAUUACUUUUAGUUUGAUUUAGAUAGAAAGGAUUAUUGUCAUUAUUUGAAUUCCUUACUUUAGUGAGAGUUGGUGAGGUACAUAGCUUUGAUUGCAUUUUUCCUUUCUUCCAGAUUCUCCUAUAGAUCGUUUGCCGCUGACAGAGUAGACCACCGAUUUUUGUUUUUUUGUUUCAGUUUCUUUGGCUUUAUUUUUUUGGUCUUAUAUAUCAUUCAAUUGUGGUCUUAUUUUUUUAUGAUUUUCUAUACUAUCAUUUGUAUGCAAUUAGUGAAAGAAUUAGUGAAAAUAGAUAAUUUGUUAGCUUUUACAUCACCAGCUUUAAGAAAUUUCAUAAAAAUGGUGUCUUCUUCAUCAUAUUUUUUUAAAUGAUUUAUUUAAAUUUUUGCAAAAACUGUAUGAAAUCAACUGUAAUACUCUAUUUGCACUUUGCAGGCCAAAAGAUUUGUAGACUAUUUGACUACUUUGAUAGUUUUGAUUUUAACCUUAUGUUUAACCCUCAAAAUUUAAGAUGUCAUACAUGCAACAACUUUUCUAUGCUACACUUUUAAGUGCUAGCUAUUUUUUCCAAGAAGAUUAGAGCUUGAAUUUCCAAGAGAAUUAGACUAACCUCAUAUUAAUGUUUUACAAUGUUAAGUGCUAAUUUUUGACACCCUCAUUGUCUAAAAUUGUAGGUUUGAGUUCAAAGGAUGGUAACUAAGAAUAUGAUGGAGCAAAAUUAACAUGUUUCCUUUGAGCACAUGUAUUAUUGUGAGUAAAAUAUUUUACAUUCCUCACUCUCUGACAUUGAUACGACAUAGUAGUGGAAGUGGUGGAAGGUGAUGCUAGAAAUGUUCUCUGUGAUGCUGUGGAGAAGCACCAUGCUUCAAUAUUGGUUCUUGGUAGUCAUGGUUAUGGAGCUAUAAAAAGGGCGGUAUUAGGUAGUGUAAGGACUACUGUGCUCAUCAUGCUCAUUGCACUGUGAUGAUUGUGAAGAAGCCAAAAACCAAACACUGAUCUCAUUGGCUGCGCGCGUCUAAAUUGUCCUACAGCAAUCAGAAUAUAUAUUUUCAGCAAAAGGAAACAUGAAUGUUCUUUAAAGUUUUCACUAAGUUGUUUGUUCCAUGUCAUAUUGACUCUAUAGAAUAAGGUUCAUUUCACAUUUUAUUAUGUUUUAAAUACUAAAAUUAGAACAGGAUUUCUCCCUGUCCCAGCCAGUAGUCAACCCUGGUACUUAUUUUGAUUAUGAUCAGAUUUUGUAAAUGUGACAGUUCUAUGCAUAAACGAAUAAGAAUCAUAUGUAUGCCAUGAUUUUGUUCAUUCCUUAA